rnacentral:lncRNA from 12 species
GUUUGUACCACCCCUGGUAAAGACCCUGGGGAGCAGCAGUGGAAUCUGUGCUAUUGAUUGGCUGGUUAAAGAGAGGCCUAUUAGAUUGAGACAGGCUAGAUUGAUUAUACAGCAGCAGAAGGAGCUCAGAUUCAGAGCUGAGUGAACGUCAGGGUGAGAGAGAGGGAGAGCAAGCGAGAGAAGGCGCGCAAUAGAGGGAGGCUGUACCCACUAUAGCAUCAGUGUGUGACAGCUGGUGCCUGAUAGCACUGAUACCGAGCUCCUUCAGUGGAGAACUUGCUGAGCUACCCUUUUUUCGAUUGCAAGAGGAUGCCAGCUCUAAGCCAGUGCAACUGAUGACAGACUGGAUCUUGGAAUAGUUCGUUUCACUUACAAUCACAUCUCUCAUGUUCUGCUGCUCCGAAGAAAGGCUUAUUACGGAAGACAAAAAUUCAUUCUCCCCUUACCUCACAUAUUAUUGAUGAUAUACAGAGUUUGAUUUUCCAGUGAAAGCUACUGAAUUAUCAGGUUUUUGGUAUCUUCAGUGGAGGCUUGCAAGACUGUUUGGUGGAAAAUAUAUUUCUAAGGUCUUGGCUAGUCACCAAGUAAGUAUCUUCUUGUGUUUUUGUAUAGUUUUCAUUCAGGUCCAAUGAAGUGUUU